rnacentral:rRNA from 1 species
UGCUCCUACGGGACGCAGCAGUCGGGAAUAUUGCGCAAUGGAGGAAACUCUGACGCAGUGACGCCGCGUAUAGGAAGAAGGUUUUCGGAUUGUAAACUAUUGUCGUUAGGGAAGAUAGAAGACAGUACCUAAGGAGGAAGCUCCGGCUAACUACGUGCCAGCAGCCGCGGUAAUACGUAGGGAGCAAGCGUUAUCCGGAUUUAUUGGGUGUAAAGGGUGCGUAGACGGGAAAUUAAGUUAGUUGUGAAAUCCCUCGGCUCAACUGAGGAACUGCAACUAAAACUGAUUUUCUUGAGACCGUUAGG